GAGGGCACGGGGCAGCCCAAGGCCAUGGCGGGACACCCAAGAGAGAAGGUGAUUCCAGAUGAGAUCCAUCAGAACCAGAUCUUGCGGGAACUGUACCACAAGGAGCUACGAACCCAGAAACUCUACACGCAGUAUCACGUGAAUCCCCUCCGCAAGAAUUUCAGGAACCAUGACUUUGGAGAGGCCACAUCAUAUCAGAUGUAUUCGCUGUAUUAAAGUUCAUGCGCAACACGAUUAAACCUUUUCGUUGUAGAAGAAAAAAAAGUUCACACAAUCACCAGGAAGCCCAUGUCUUGGCAUGAUAACCUGGAGGAACCUGCAGAUGCGCAUAUCCCCGUCUGCCACCAUCACGUCAUUUUGUAAACCUGCAUACUGUGUCCUCUGCCCCGUCUAGACCAUGAGCUCUAGGAAAGCAGGGACCACGCUGUCACUCAGCACUCUAUGCCCAGCGCCCAGAACCAUGCCUGGCAUAGAGUUUGAGCUCACUACCAUCUUUGUUGAAAAAUGAGUGGAGAGACCAGACACCCUGUUCUCAAGGCUGAGGCAAACCUCCGAGGCCCAGAUGCUCUGCCUGAAAGGAACAACGUGGACACAGGAAAGGGCACAGGACCAACCUCUGGUCCCAAAGCCUGACUCCUUCAUAACUCAUACCUCAUCUCCCAGCCAGGUUUCUGAAUCUCAUUCACCAUACUGCCCAGGGACCAAAGAAGAAGUACCCAGAGACACAGACUGAAAACCAGGAAGUUGGAUGGGACUUAGAGCCCUUGGUAAGCGUGGCUCCUUCCUCAGGAAACACGAGGAAACACAGCGGCAAUGUAGGUGGUGACUGUAGAAUAGAGCAGGGGGCCAGACAUGCCUGGGCUUGAACCUGGCUACCUCUUACCAGCUGGGUCAACCCAGAACGCCAUGACCGCAGGCUGAAUCACUUCAGGGUCUGCAGUGACAUCACUCUGUACAAGGCUAAAACAUGGGGCUUAGGAGAUGAUCGCCACAAGUAGCAUCCCAGCAGAGGAGCCCAUCUGUGGAUCUAAUGCCCUAAGUGUGCACAGCCCAGAGAAAUAAAAUAUAACUUUAAAGU